AGGGGCAAAUUGUGCCCCUGUAGUGCGUGUGAAUAGGGUGUUCUUUGGCCAGACAUCUGGUUCGUGAAUC
rnacentral:ncRNA from 1 species